rnacentral:misc_RNA from 1 species
GUGGUUCUGCAAUCUUCAUCUACAGCAUAUAAACACUUAUCUAUAUUACCAUUGACCCCAGAUAUUAUAGAUCCACACUGCAUAAGGCUUUCAGACAAAGAGGACCGUGCAUUCAAAUCAUUUAUGCAAGUGAAAUCCUUAUUCCCACCGCACCACAAGGAUGCAAAAAUCCUGAAAUCUAUGGCUUGAAUGGAAGAAGGCACCAAUGAUGAAGUAUCAAUGAUGUCAACCAUGGAGACAUACCUCCCAGUUUUAAUCAGUUCAAUCGCAUGAUCCCAAACGGAAAAC